rnacentral:rRNA from 1 species
UACGAAGGGGGCUAGCGUUGUCCGGAAUCACUGGGCGUAAAGGGCGCGUAGGUGGUGACCUAAGCGUGCGGUGAAAGCCCGAGGCUCAACCUCGGGUCGGCCGUGCGAACGUGGGUCACUGGAGCAGAAUAGAGGCAGGUGGAAUUCCGGGUGUAGCGGUGGAAUGCGUAGAGAUCCGGAAGAACACCGGUGGCGAAGGCGGCCUGCUGGACCAUAACUGACACUCAGGGACGAAAGCUAGGGGAGCGAAUGGG